CCAAGGAGUUUAGCGUGUACGCGAGUCAUUGGGUGUCAAAACCUAAAGGCGAAAUGAAAGUGAAGGAAACUUCGUUUUCGAGGGAGGAUGAGGCGCGUCCCUAUUAGGGCCGCUUCCGCACUCCCGGGGCGUCUCUAUCUCAUUGCGAGAGGAGGCGCACCUAGAGCGUACACGCUGAUACCCGAAAGAUGGUGAACUAUGCCUGGCGAGGACGAAGCCAGGGGAAACCCUGGUGGAGGUCCGCAGCGAUUCUGACGUGCAAAUCGAUCGUCGGAGCUGGGUUUAGGGGCGAAAGACCAAUCGAACCAUCUAGUAGCUGGUUCCCUCUGAAGUUUCCCUCAGGAUAGCUUGCGCUCAAUUGAUACGAGUCUCAUCCGGUAGAGCGAAUGAUUAGAGGCCUUGGGGUCGAAACGACCUCAACCUAUUCUCAAACUCCAAAUAGAUGAGAACCCCGGCUUUCUUGAACUUUUGUUUAUGAAGCCGGGGGCUUGGAUCAGAGUGCCAAGUGGGCCAAUUUU
rnacentral:rRNA from 1 species